rnacentral:rRNA from 1 species
UGGUGGCGACCGGCGCACGGGUGAGUAACGCGUAUGCAACCCACUUAUCAGAGGGGAAUAACCCGGCGAAAGUCGGACUAAUACCGCAUAAAACAGGGGCACCGCAUGGUGAUAUUUGUUAAAGAAAUUCGCUGAUAGAUGGGCAUGCGUUCCAUUAGGUAGUUGGUGAGGUAACGGCUCACCAAGCCGACGAUGGAUAGGGGAACUGAGAGGUUGGUCCCCCACACUGGUACUGAGACACGGACCAGACUCCUACGGGAGGCAGCAGUGAGGAAUAUUGGUCAAUGGGCGAGAGCCUGAACCAGCCAAGUCGCGUGAAGGAAGAAGGAUCUAUGGUUCGUAAACUUCUUUUGCAGGGGAAUAAAGUGCAGGACGUGUCCUGUUUUGUAUGUACCCUGAGAAUAAGGAUCGGCUAACUCCGUGCCAGCAGCCGCGGUAAUACGGAGGAUCCGAGCGUUAUCCGGAUUUAUUGGGUUUAAAGGGUGCGUAGGUGGUUUGAUAAGUCAGCGGUGAAAGUUUGCAGCUUAACUGUAAAAAUGCCGUUGAAACUGUCGGACUUGAGUGUAAAUGAGGUAGGCGGAAUGCGUGGUGUAGCGGUGAAAUGCUUAGAUAUCACGAAGAACUCCGAUUG